CCCUUAGAUGUUCUGGGCCGCACGCGCGCUACACUGACGAAUGCAACGAGCUUAUAACCUUGGCCGAAAGGUCUGGGUAAUCUCCAAAUUUCGUCGUGAUGGGGAUAGAUUAUUGCAAUUAUUAAUCUUCAACGAGGAAUGCCUAGUAAGCGCAAGUCAUCAGCUUGCGUUGAUUACGUCCCUGCCCUUUGUACACACCGCCCGUCGCUCCUACCGAUUGAAUGGUUCGGUGAAGCGCUCGGACCGCGGCCUCUUGACGGUUCGCUGUCGAUUGGCUGUGGGAAGUUCGUUAAACCUUAUCAUUUAGAGGAAGGAGAAGUCGUAACA
rnacentral:rRNA from 1 species